CUUGCAGCUAUUACCUACAGCCCCAAACCCUGAAACCCCCAUCACUAGAUUUAAUUUUUUAAGAGAAGUUACGAGAAACUCUUAUGAUUUGAAGAUUAAAAACAAGGCCUGAGCUGAAGGACGUCUCGGGGAAUCUGAGGGUACAUACUACCGUUGCAGAGGAGCCAAGUUCUGUCCCCAGCCUGUAACUCCUCCAUGAGGACCUGAUGCCUCUGGCCCCUGUGGGCACUUGCGCACACAUGCACUUAUCCACACGCAGACACCCACACAUGCGCAUAAUUAAAUACGGAGAGACUUCAGCUAGACUCUGAAUGAAGAGCUUUUUUUUCUUCCCCACGCCACCAGAAUUUCCCUGUCCUGUCUUUCUCUCCUGGCUCGUUUUGAUGAUGAUAAACAAUGCCCUUGUCUUCAUCUAAGCAAUGACUCGUGUAACUUUUGUUUUAUUAUUUAGGUCACAUGCACUGACUCAAGGAACUUAAUUUUAAGGCAGUCCAGUGAAGUAUGCAAGGCAGAUGUUAUGGUCCUGUAAAUGCAAAAAACGGACCUAAGAAAUCAUCGCAAAUGUCUACCUAUGGUCCUAAAAGCGCAUGCCAUAUUUGAAUUCUCUCUAUGCUGUAUCUCCACUUAGACUAUAGUGGAACACCUCCAGCAUUGGGAAUCUGUUAUAAGAGCACACUGAAGUCCCAACUCAGGACAAUUCUUCAGGUCUCUUUUGGACCAUCGCAGCCACUGACAGUUCGAGAGAGUCAUAGCCGUGCCAUGCCCAGAGGACAGCGGGCCACAGCAGCAUUUCACAGAUGGCCUUAUAAUUAAAAAAAACUCAGAGUCAGAGAUCGGGUGAAGGCUGAAAGAUCAGAGAAGCAGAGCAAGCCACAGCCAACCUCACCUCGCCAACUCCUCAGCCAAUCCUGUUUCCUCAGACUGGAAGCCUCGGAGUCCUCACCCGAAAGGAUCUCAGCUGAACUGCUUUAGUUCCUGUUUCCUCACACCUUAUACACCUUUCUCCGCCCAGCCAUGUCACUUCCUGGGAUUAAAGGCGUGUGUGCUUCCCAGUACUGUGAUUAAAGAGAUAUUGUCUGGAAAAUAUCACCAUUCCUGAUGAGUCAGUUCCUGAUAGUUUCCAUGGAAACAUCAUUUUUUAAAGGGCUUUGCAUGAAUUCUGAGCACCACUAAGGUCCUUUUAGUGAAUACCCAUCCCCUUGAGAUAAUCAGACCCUGAUUCUACUGCUUACAGCAAGAACUCCUGGACGUCAUGGUCACACUGACUUCCCACAGGCAUCAGAUGUUAACAGAUGUUGAAGAAUCUGCCUCCUGGACUUCUCAUGUCUGUGCCUGCUUCUGCUGCCACUGUCACCUCACUUCUCACCAGGGCGAGCAAGCAGACAGGAAACGCUGCCUGUGUGCACUUCGUACGCUCAUCCUCCAGUCCACAGCUGUCUAUGCCAGGUUUGCCUGGCUGAGAUAUCUGAGGAGAGAGUCCAUUGUAAACGAACAAUCGUAACCCAGUUUCAGGAGAGAACACUGUAACUAGCCCCUCUCCAGUGGUGGUAAGAGUGUUAUCUGAGAAGAGGGGAGGUCAGACCAGGGCUGGUGCUUUUCAGAGGAGUGGGUCACCCAUCCAACCUCUGACCAGCCACCUUCAGGGGACACAGACAUGACUAUCCUGGGCAAAUCACCUCUCUAGAGAACUGCCCCAUGAUCCCCGGAGCGUGAUCCUUGGUGGGUGAAGCGGCUGUGACCAUGCCUAUCUACAUCUGUCAAGAUAAAGUCCGCAGUGCUCUUCACAACGGUACCUCGACUUUCCCAUCUCCCAUGCCCCUCCCUCGUGUUAUCCCCACAUGCAGCCAUGCUUGUCUGGGGGAGUUAGGCUCCCUAUGAAUGCCCUUCUUUCUGAGCAGGAAUGUCAUCAAAUAGUUUAUUUUCAGAAUUAGAAAUAAAGACUGUUUAGUGAAACUGAUUUUCAAAGAGCACAGGUAUUUUUUUAAAGUUUCUUGCAUCUUAUUUUUUAAUUCAAAUCCGAGAAACAAAAAAUAUUUUUAUUAUGUCUUUUCUUAUUUGGCUCUAUGUUUUUAAUGUUUGAACUGUUAUGUCUUGAUUUUGGGGAAAUUUUAUGUAUUGGCUUCUAACCAUUUAAAAAUAAAUAUUU